rnacentral:rRNA from 1 species
UGGGGAAUAUUGGACAAUGGGCGGAAGCCUGAUCCAGCAACGCCGCGUGAGGGAUGACGGCCUUCGGGUUGUAAACCUCUUUCAGUACCGACGAAGCGGAAGUGACGGUAGGUACAGAAGAAGCACCGGCCAACUACGUGCCAGCAGCCGCGGUAAUACGUAGGGUGCGAGCGUUGUCCGGAAUUAUUGGGCGUAAAGGGCUCGUAGGCGGUUUGUCGCGUCGGGAGUGAAAACACUGGGCUUAACUCAGUGCUUGCUUCCGAUACGGGCAGACUAGAGGCAUGCAGGGGAGAACGGAAUUCCUGGUGUAGCGGUGAAAUGCGCAGAUAUCAGGAGGAACACCGGUGGCGAAGGCGGUUCUCUGGGCAUGUCCUGACGCUGAGGAGCGAAAGUGUGGGGAGCGAACAGGAUUAGAUACCCUGGUAGUCCACACCGUAAAACGUUGGGCGCUAGGUGUGGGGGCCCUAUUCCAUGGUUCCGUGCCGCAGCUAACGCAUUAAGCGCCCCGCCUGGGGAGUACGGCCGCAAGCUAAAACUUAAAGGAAUUGACGGGGUCAUAGCUG